rnacentral:rRNA from 1 species
AGUGAACGCUGGCGGUAGGCCUAACACAUGCAAGUCGAACGGCAGCACAGUAAGAGCUUGCUCUUACGGGUGGCGAGUGGCGGACGGGUGAGGAAUACAUCGGAAUCUACUUUUUCGUGGGGGAUAACGUAGGGAAACUUACGCUAAUACCGCAUACGACCUACGGGUGAAAGCAGGGGAUCUUCGGACCUUGCGCGAUUGAAUGAGCCGAUGUCGGAUUAGCUAGUUGGCGGGGUAAAGGCCCACCAAGGCGACGAUCCGUAGCUGGUCUGAGAGGAUGAUCAGCCACACUGGAACUUAGACACGGUCCCGACUCCUACGGGAGGCAGCAGUGGGGAAUAUUGGACAAUGGGCGCAAGCCUGAUCCAGCCAUACCGCGUGGGUGAAGAAGGCCUUCGGGUUGUAAAGCCCUUUUGUUGGGAAAGAAAAGCAGCAGGUUAAUACCCCGCUGUUCUGACGGUACCCAAAGAAUAAGCACCGGCUAACUUCGUG